GCUUUGUCUGUUGACCAUCCAUACAUAACUGGUGACUUUGCACAUGCAAUAUAUUUUGAUAGUAGGUCUUGUCCUAUAACCUUUGGAUUAAAGUCAGAAGUACUUUGUUCUGGUUUGUUACAAAACCAAUAGCCCAUUUCACCAGCAUACAUCAUACUUAGUAAGUGUGUGUCACUGUAUAUACCUGUAAAGAUAGAAAGGUUUGUUACAUAACCAAUAGCCAAUUUCACUAGCAUACAUCAUACUUAGUAAGUGUGUGUCACUGUAUAUACCUGUAAAGAUAGAAAGGUUUGUUACAUAACCAAUAGCAUAUUUCACCAGCAUACAUCAUACUUAGUAAGUGUGUGUCACUGUAUAUACCUGUAAAGAUAGAAAGGUUUGUUACAUAACCAAUAGCACAUUUCACCAGCAUACAUAAUACUUAGUGUGUGUCACUGUAUAUACCUGUAAAGAUAGAAAGGUUUGUUACAUAACCAAUAGCACAUUUCACCAGCAUACAUAAUACUUAGUGUGUGUCACUGUAUAUACCUGUAAAGAUAGAAAG